GGAGAGAUGGCUCAGCGGUUAAGAGCACUGGCUGCUCUUCCAGAGGUCCUGAGUUCAAUUCUCAGCACCC
rnacentral:tRNA from 1 species